ensembl:lncRNA
ACCCCCCAUCCAAAUGGAUCCCUCCAAUAGGGUUCCACUGAGCAUGCCUGAAUUUGCCCAAGCAUAUUUAAGGACAGCUCAAACUAAGCUUGGGCCUUUUCCUGGACCAGAAAGUACUACAGCUCAUAUACAUGAAGGAUAUCACAUGUUUUUGGACCUGUUCCUGCUGAACUUGCCAUCACAGAAGUUACAGGACAAUACAGGGAAAUGCACACUAAGCAGUGGGCCAUCAAAUGCUCAACAGAGAGCAAAGCUUCAGCAUUGGAGGUUCCUCUGCCAUCAUCACGGCAUGCGUCUGUGUGGCUCUGCUGCUGAUUGGAGGAUCAGCACUGACCUGCUACAAACUUUAUUUAUUUUGAGUAAGAGUCGAUAAGAUGUUAAAGUAAAUAAAACAGUGGGAAACAUUUGCUAUUCAGUGAAAGCCGUACUGCCCUUCAGAUGCUUGAACAUAAGCUUGCAUUAAUCAUUAUUACGUGAACCUUCAGAGACGGUAAACGUUAUUCACAGCCGUC